CAGUACUGACGCUGAGAUGCGAAGCGUGGGGAGCAAACAGGAUUAGAUACCUGGUAGUCACGCUGUAAACGAUGUCGAUUUGGAGUUUGUUGCCUAGAGUGAUGGGCUCCGAAGCUAACGCGAUAAAUCGACCGCUGGGGAGUACGGCCGCAAGGUUAAAACUCAAAUGAAUUGACGGGGGCCCGCACAGCGGUGGAGCAUGUGGUUUAAUUCGAUGCAACGCGAAGAACCUUACCUGGUCUUGACAUCCAUAGAAUUCUGCAGAGAUGUGGGAGUGCCUUCGGGAACUAUGAGACAGGUGCUGCAUGGCUGUCGUCAGCUCGUGUUGUGAAAUGUUGGGUUAAGUCCCGCAACGAGCGCAACCCUUAUUCUUUGUUGCCAGCGAUUUGGUCGGGAACUCAAAGGAGACUGCCGUUGAUAAAGCGGAGGAAGGUGGGGACGACGUCAAGUCAUCAUGGCCCUUACGACCAGGGCUACACACGUGCUACAAUGGCGUAUACAAAGGGAAGCGAAGGUGCGAGCUGGAGCGGAUCUCAUAAAGUACGUCUAAGUUCGGAUUGGAGUCUGCAACCCGACUCCAUGAAGUCGGAAUCGCUAGUAAUCGUAGAUCAGAAUGCUACGGUGAAUACGUUCCCGGGCCUUGUACACACCGCCCGUCACACCAUGGGAGUGGGUUGCACCAGAAGUAGAUAGCUUAACCGCGAGGGGGGCGUUUACCACGGUGUGAUUCAUGACUGGGGUGAAGUCGUAACAAGGUAACCA
rnacentral:rRNA from 1 species